rnacentral:rRNA from 1 species
GCUCAGGACGAACGCUGGCGGCGUGCUUAACACAUGCAAGUCGAGCGGAAAGGCCCCUUCGGGGGUACUCGAGCGGCGAACGGGUGAGUAACACGUGAGCAACCUGCCCCUGACUCUGGGAUAAGCCCGGGAAACUGGGUCUAAUACCGGAUAUGACCACUGGUCGCAUGAUCGUGUGGUGGAAAGUUUUUCGGUUGGGGAUGGGCUCGCGGCCUAUCAGCUUGUUGGUGGGGUGAUGGCCUACCAAGGCGACGACGGGUAACCGGCCUGAGAGGGCGACCGGUCACACUGGGACUGAGACACGGCCCAGACUCCUACGGGAGGCAGCAGUGGGGAAUAUUGCGCAAUGGGCGGAAGCCUGACGCAGCGACGCCGCGUGAGGGAUGACGGCCUUCGGGUUGUAAACCUCUUUCAGCAGGGACGAAGCUAACGUGACGGUACCUGCAGAAGAAGCGCCGGCUAACUACGUGCCAGCAGCCGCGGUAAUACGUAGGGCGCAAGCGUUGUCCGGAAUUAUUGGGCGUAAAGAGCUCGUAGGCGGUUUGUCGCGUCUGUCGUGAAAGCCCACGGCUUAACCGUGGGUCUGCGGUGGAUACGGGCAGACUAGAGGCAGGUAGGGGAGAAUGGAAUUCCCGGUGUAGCGGUGAAAUGCGCAGAUAUCGGGAGGAACACCGGUGGCGAAGGCGGUUCUCUGGGCCUGUACUGACGCUGAGGAGCGAAAGCGUGGGGAGCGAACAGGAUUAGAUACCCUGGUAGUCCACGCCGUAAACGUUGGGCGCUAGGUGUGGGGUCCUUCCACGGAUUCCGCGCCGCAGCUAACGCAUAAGCGCCCCGCUU